ensembl:lncRNA
UAUAAUUAAUAACAUUAAUUUUUUUAAUUAAAUGUUAUAUUUCAAAUGUAAUAAUAAUAUUGUUCAAUUAAACAAUGCUACUUUUUGUCCUCAGCCAAACCGAUUCGUCCAGGACAUAACCCCGCCUCCUUAUCAGCCAAUCACAUGUUCACGCGCAGCAGGGAUCAGCCAAUCACGUUCAGCAACGAGAUGUUCACCAGCGCCACUGAAAAACCCCAGUCCAGUUUCACCAGCGAUGUGUGUCAGCACAAACACAAGCUUCACGAGCAGCGCGCCGCCAGCUAAACACACACACAGACGAUCUGUUCUUCUGAAUAUUUGCAUGUUGCCUGCAGAUCCAGUGAAGAACAUGAAGCCGUCUGCUCCGUCGUAUAACCUCAGACUCUGAAUGAGCUUCCACUGCAGAAGACAAACACCGUUCCUGCCAGAACAUUUCAGGAACAUCUUCAUUUAACUUCUUCUUUGCAAGGGUUUUCAGUCUUUUAGAUUUUAGGGCAACAAAUGUGGGUUUUUUAGUGACUUAAACCAUUUUUCACAAGCCUUCAUAGCAAUUAGUUCCUAUAGUACAAUAUCACUCUUUUUUAAUGUAAUAAUUAUUAGGAAUAAGGAAAAAUAGACAGUGAAUAAAUCGAAAUAAUUUAAUAUAAUUUCA